GACAAACGCUGGCGGGCGUGCUUAACACAUGCAAGUCGAACGGAGUACCCGGAAUUGAAGCUUCGGCCGAUUUUCUGGAAUACUUAGUGGCGGACGGGUGAGUAACACGUGAGUAACCUGCCCUUGAGUGGGGAAUAACACACCGAAAGGUGUGCUAAUACCGCAUAACAUAUGGAUAUCGCAUGAUAACCAUAUCAAAGAUUUAUUGCUCAAGGAUGGGCUCGCGUCCGAUUAGGUAGUUGGUGAGGUAACGGCUCACCAAGCCGACGAUCGGUAGCCGGACUGAGAGGUUGAACGGCCACAUUGGGACUGAGACACGGCCCAG
rnacentral:rRNA from 1 species